AUUGAACGCUGGCGGCAUGCCUUACACAUGCAAGUCGAACGGCAGCAUGAUCUAGCUUGCUAGAUUGAUGGCGAGUGGCGAACGGGUGAGUAAUACAUCGGAACGUGCCCUGUAGUGGGGGAUAACUAGUCGAAAGAUUAGCUAAUACCGCAUACGACCUGAGGGUGAAAGUGGGGGACCGCAAGGCCCUCAUGCUAUAGGAGCGGCCGAUGUCUGAUUAGCUAGUUGGUGAGGUAAAGGCUCACCAAGGCGACGAUCAGUAGCUGGUCUGAGAGGACGAUCAGCCACACUGGGACUGAGACACGGCCCAG
rnacentral:rRNA from 1 species